AGAACAACACUCACUCACGCUCCCUUGCGUCCACCCAACAACACCCACCCGCUCAAACACAGCACACACCGCACAACAGGUGCAUCAUACCCAAUCGCCGCACAUCCACUGGCGGCAGUACUUCCACCUUCCACCCUCUGCAUAAAUAUCACCAUUUUAUCCCCGUUCCACUGCUUUUCCCUUGCAUCGCCGUCGUCUCCCUCAUUGCUCUGCUUGCCAUUCGCGUUCGCUCUCAUUUUUCUUUCUUUGCCUAUUCACCGUUCGACUUCUCCGUUAUUUUGGCCUGUUCUUCGUGUGCGUGUGCGCGCGCGUUUGUUCUCCAUUGACAAGUACCCAGUCAGUGUGCUUAAGUUGUCGAAGUGUUUGACUUGUGCAGACAUUAUCGUCGUCAGUCACCUGGCCCUUUCCGCGCGCGCUUUCUCCCUGGAUCUCUCCCGUCCACCUCCAUCUGCACCUCCACCGCUGCGCUUGCACUUGUAUCUCUUUAUACACACGCACGCACACGUAUACCCAACACCUACAUCUAUUAUCACACCGCACGUCUAUUUCGGUGCGGCUGCCCCCCCCCUGCGAAUCAGCAGGGCGUUUGCGCGCGGUACCAUCCCCCUGUCAAUCCUUCAGUUGCUUUCUCCCCCCUCUCCCUUGUGAGGCUCAUCCAGCCCUUUACUGCUUGUAAGUGUGCGUGGGUGUUUCAGUCGCUCUCUGCGCCUCCUCGACGUUGCUGGAGCACGCACACGCACACGUGCUAAGGAGUGCCCUGCAGUAGCGAUGGAGCGUGUGCGCAUUCGAUACGUUCUGACGGGCGCCUGCCCGUCCACCUACUCGGGACGUGUGGUGCACGACUUUGUUGCCCUCAAGCAGCCGAACGGCUGUGACACUACAAUCGAGAUGGUGAAGGCGCAGUUUCGCUCGAACUGGCCAGCUGAUAUGAAGGAGCUGGCGGAGCGCAUUUCCGAGUCGGGGAUCCGCGUGCUCAAGGCAGGGCGCGUGCUGAAUGAUGGUGACUCGCUGACGCGGCAUCUCACGGCCUCGGAGCGGGAGGCGUGCCUUGUGUCUGGCGACACGAAAGUUGGAGAUACGAAUGACGAGAUGCAGAAACCUUCGGUGCUGGUGCACAUGGUCAUCCAGGGGAACCGCGCCCCGCCGGCCGAAAACUCGAAGAGGGAAAAACACAAGGUGAGCAGCACGCCGGAGGGCGGUAACUCGGGCGAGGGGCAUGAGGUGAAGAAGGAUAGCUGCUGCUGCGUUAUGUAGCGGUAGAACAACGAGAAAGAGCAAAAAGCAGCGCGCGAAAAAGAAAUAUUGACCCCCUUACUGACAUUAUUUGUCUUCACAGUCCACAUUGGCAUUCGCCGUUACGCCCCCUCUCUCCCUUCCAUUGCUGUCUACCUCCCAAAGCCUAUGUGAUGUGCUGUUGCGGCAACUGCUACUACUGCUGACUGGUAGAUUGUGUGGCGUUCUUCUUUUUUUGUUCUCGUUCGCGCGCUCAUUUUGUUGCUUUCCUCGUGCGUAUGCACGUGUUCUUGUCUGACUUCUCUACCCACCAACGCCCCCUUCCGCUAUGGCGCUCUUCUCGCUCGUGGUGGGUUGGCAUUUUUGUUUUUGCUUUUGUUCUCCGUCCCGCUGCCGAUGUGUGGGUUGAUUGCGAGCACCUGUGCGCGCCUUUCACCGUUUCAUUGUUUUGUUAGUGCUCUCCAACCUCUGGAGUGUCGCUGCUUCGUAGUGCAUGUGUGUGCGAAGGUGGGGCGGAGACGGUCUUGUGCGUAUGUCGGGGGGGGGAGGGCGCUGUGGCAGCAGAAAUUCAAGUGAGGUUCGCGUUGGCGAAUGCGUCUUUCUGUCUGUUGGCAACCACCUGCACGUACAGUGUCCCUCUCCAGUUCUUUGUGUGUUUCUUUUAUAGUUCGCUGAGGAGUGCUGUACGUGUUUCUGUACUUUGGAGGAGGAGGGGGGAUGCCAACAGCUCCGUUCUUCUCUUUUCUUUUUCGUUAUUUUACAUCCACUCUGCCUUUGCUCUCUCUCCGUGCGUUUGUGGCGUCUUUGCUGAGUGACCACAGGUGUGUGCGUAUGUCUGUGUACGCGUUGUACGGCUGACGGACUGAUGGGCGCAGGGAGAGUGAGGAGGAGCGAUGAUGGAUGAGUGGAAAGGUAGUAACACUGCGACUGUUUUCGGUGGUUGGGGGGGGGCCGAGGAGCAAGCGAUAAGAAGAGGAGGACAGGGCGCCUCGAAGGUGAGGGGUAGUGAGGGAGGCAAAGGGGGAGGAGGCUGGCUAUGUAACCACGCGCUGUCACUACGUCCCACUACUGAUGCCCCACACAUUGGAUGGCUUCGUGUGCGCUGACUCCCCUUCGCCCUUUCCUAUCCCUCCCUUUACGGCUUUUCAUCGCCUCCCCGCAUCUUCCUCGACAUCUCUCACUUGCUCUUACCUCCACUCAGCCACAUGCAUUCUCCAACGUACAGCUGGCGCGCCUAGAUGCGCUAGUGGCGGAGAGCGUCGCUCAGCGGAGCUCCUGUGCCUGUAUCCGUCUCUCUCUCUGUGAUUUCUCCUUUUCAUUUUUCAGCUCUUCAAUGUUGUGUGUAUGUGUGCGUGUCUUCGCCCGUCUCUUCCCGUUCUUGGGUUGUCUUUUACCAACCGUCGCCGACUCACUCUUCUUUAUCUUCUUUAGCUCUUUUUUAUGCUUAGCUGUGUGCUUUCUUUGCCGCGCAGGUGCACAUACGUGCGCGCACACACACACGCGUGUGACUGUGAGGUGCGCAUCUCAUCUUUCUUUGCUGAGUUCACGUGACGUCCUGUAGAGGCUUCUUCGCUAAAGGUCGAUGUUCGGCCUGCACUUUCGGUAGCCGCGCGGGUAUGUGUGCGUGCGCACGUAUGCUGAAUGGGCCACCGCCGCAAAUAAGAGAGGGUAGUCGACGCGAUACACAAACGACGCGUGUCAGAGGCGAUGGCGCCCAUCAAACCACCUUCACUUUGCCCAAGGGCAAUGGUUGUACGCGCGAGCGCUUGCUGAGACUCUGGCCUCGGCCCACCGCUGCUAUCCCAGCUCGAUGGCAAGUGUGGGUGGUGGGCGAAGGGAGCCGCACGGGGGUGUGGACGUGGGGACGGGAAGGGGACGGAGAGAGGCGUCCCCGCACGACUCAUACCCGAUCCGCUUUGCGUUAAUGGAGAGUAUGCGGCAGCCUCUUUUGUCUCGCAUCAUACGCCAGAGAUAGCGUGGGGGAACUAUAAGCUCAACUUCCGCGCGCCACCGUCGGUCAAGAAGGUCGCCCGGGUAAGGAACAGAGGGCAAGGGGAGCGCAGUGGGCCCUCUCCUCACGCUCCUCACUAUUUCCCUGAUUCCUAUACGAGUCUAGCGUGUGCCACACGUUCUUCUCUGUCCCCGCUACUCAUCCCUCUGCUGCUCCUUUCGCAUGUGGUGCAAUAUUCCUUUCUUGCCUGCCGUUUCCGUCCCCCUCUUUCCAUACCUAAACCGGCCUCCUCCGCUGCUGCCGCUGUGCAAUACAG
rnacentral:misc_RNA from 1 species